GGUUCGGUGGUGUAGUGGUUAUCACGUCUGUCUCACAACGUACUAGAGUUGUCACAGGAGGUCCCCGGUUCGAGACCGGGUCGAACCA